rnacentral:rRNA from 1 species
UACGAAGGGGGCUAGCGUUGCUCGGAGUUACUGGGCGUAAAGAGUGCGUAGGCGGUGUUCCAAGUCUGUUGUGAAAUCUCCCGGCUCAACUGGGAGGGUGCGGCGGAAACUGGGACGCUGGAGUACGGGAGAGGUAAGCGGAAUUCCUGGUGUAGCGGUGAAAUGCGUAGAUAUCAGGAGGAACACCUGCGGUGUAGACGGCUUACUGGACCGUAACUGACGCUGAGGCACGAAAGCGUGGGUAGCAAACAGG